rnacentral:rRNA from 1 species
CCUACGGGUGGCAGCAGUGGGGAAUAUUGGGCAAUGGGCGCAAGCCUGACCCAGCAACGCCGCGUGAAGGAAGAAGGCUUUCGGGUUGUACACUUCUUUUCUCAGGGACGAAGCAAGUGACGGUACCUGAGGAAUAAGCCACGGCUAACUACGUGCCAGCAGCCGCGGGAAUACGUAGGUGGCAAGCGUUAUACGGAUUUAAUGGGUGUAAAGGUCGGGUAGGCGGGGACGCAAGUCAGAUGUGACAACCACGGGCUCAACCUGUGGCCGUCAUUUGAAACUGUGUUUCUUGAGUACUGGAGAGGCAGACGGAAUUCCUAGUGGAGCGGUGAAAGGCGUAGAUAGUAGGAGGAACACCAGUGGCGAAGGCGGUCUGCUGGACAGCAACGGACGCUGAGGCGCGAAAGCGUGGGGAGCAAACAGGAUUAGAUACCCCAGUAGUC